rnacentral:rRNA from 1 species
CACCGGCAGCUCUAGUGGUAGCCGUUUUUAUUGGGCCUAAAGCGUCCGUAGCCGGUUUAAUAAGUCUCUGGUGAAAUCCUGCAGCUUAACUGUGGGAAUUGCUGGAGAUACUAUUAGACUUGAGAUCGGGAGAGGUUAGAGGUACUCCCAGGGUAGAGGUGAAAUUCUGUAAUCCUGGGAGGACCGCCUGUUGCGAAGGCGUCUGACUGGAACGAUUCUGACGGUGAGGGACGAAAGCUAGGGGCGCGAACCGG